rnacentral:lncRNA from 7 species
GAGUGGCUCUCUCCGUGUGCUGUGGCGGCGCCUGGCUCUGCUCGGACGGACUCCACCGAAGGCGCUCGGCUCCCCUCGGGCUCCACCUGCGACGGCCGGCCCUCUGCCUGCACCGACGGUGCCCGGCCCCCUCGGCAUCCACCAGCGGUGCUCGGCUCCAAGGUAUACAGCAGCAGCGCCCUGUGUCGAGAUCUCCCUUGUAUCCCUUCCCUCUAGCGUUUUCCUGAUUUGAGUGACAAGAUUCUAAGAAGCUGUUGUUUUAUGUGUUACCCAAGAUUUAAAUAAGCUAGUGUUAGAAGCUGGUGUUUUAUGCUAUCAAAUGAACUAGUGUUAGAAGCUGCUGUUGGAUGGAGAUCGUAGUUAUUUUGAUGUGUGACGUUAUCUUAAACAGAUGUUCUGGUUUGGAUGUGUACUGUUAUCUGAAACAAAUAUUCAGAACUGAAAAUGUUGAAUCUGUUAAAGUGCACAUGUUACUAGUUUCUGUUAUUGUGCACAGGUUGCAAAUGUUCAACACAUGUGGCCGCAAUGUCCACAGGUUUCAAAUGUCCCAACUGGACCUAGCCCUCACGGACGGAAGUGCCCAGGACCUGUCAAUAUACUAGUGUAUUGCGCCUGCGCGUAUUCCAGCAUAGGUUUCACGAAGGAACGAUUGAUAUUCCGGUCGUGUAUGUUUGUCAAAAUAAUCAUUUCUAGAUAGUGGUAGCAAACUGAAUUUCCUUUGUCAUGCAGUUGUAAUCUUGAACAUGGCUGAAUUAUGAAUGGUGGUAGCAAACUGUUUCAUGGCAUCAAACUGAAUUUCUAAAAUUUUGGAUGGUGCUAGCAAAUUGGAUGGUGCU